GUAAUUGUAGCUUACAAAGGAAAGCGUAGCAUUGAAAAUGCUAAGACGGUGAAGCACCCAAAAACA
rnacentral:tRNA from 1 species